GGUGGGGCGGCGGGUGGAGGACUGCAACAGGUGCUACCAAGUGUGCUGGACCUUCCAUCAGACCACACCGUGGCCAUCUGGAGAGGCGAGCUGGGAGGGGGCCGGCCUGGAUGCAGACUCUGGCACAGGCUGCUGUGAGCAUCCUGGCAAGAGGAGGGCACCUGGGCAGGGGCAGGACAGGAAGGGGCAGCGGUCUCGGGGCCAAGGCCAGAACGGCUGUGUGUCUCCAGAGUGUCCUUGGGGUGCCCAUCUGAUGCCCACAAGAAUACAUCUAGGGGAGAGGUUGGCCCCUAAAAACCAACCCUCUUGCAAAUAUGUUCGGAGCCUGGAGAUGGGGCCACGUUGGAGGCAGGCCCACUUGGAGGCACAAAGAAAACUGAGCCCCCGACACUGGGAGUCCAGCAAGGAAGGUCGGCUUCCUCACGUGCCCAACAGCCCCUAAUUGCCAUUUUCAACUCCACUGAGAAGGACCCACUGAAAAAUGAAAUAGAAACAGGCCUUGGUGGGCAGGGAGCAGCGAGUGUGGUGGUCAGCCACCAUGACUGGUGGGGGUUGAGGCGGGGCUGGAGAAAAAAUGAAGGGAGGAUGCAGCUGGGGCCAGCGAGAAGCUCUGGGAGCGUAGGAAGGAAGUGCAGUACCAGAGAAAACAGACUUCAGAGUCAGACGUUGCGAGACGGUGCAGGCAAGCCUCUGGGACCUCAGUGUCUCGUCCAGGAAGGGGGCCCAUGGCAGGGGUCUGGGCGGCUGGCAUGUGCCCUGUGUGAGCCUGCCAUGCCGAGUACUAAGCUCAAGGAUCAGUGUCUACUGGGUACUCAGGAAAGGGUGGCUGGUGUCACUGUCUGCUACUAGGCAGAGCACUGGAAAGAGAGUCCAGGCUUGUGCUUUGGCAGACACCAAUCUGCUGUGCGUCUCCUAACAGCUCUGACCUCAGUAAGGAGGGGCUUGGCCAGGCAGCCUCUAGUCAAAAUGCUCAAGGUCCUGACCGAGGCUGCGGGGGAAGGUUGGAGAGACAGAAACCCCCAUAGGAAGGCAGGCAGAGUGUGGAAAUGGGCACUCAACAGAUCCCCGCGGGAAAGGUUCGGCUUAUCUUCGAGUCUUACACCCCACAAACUUGAGUCAAGAAACCACACGUCGAGGACACACACCACAGAUGUGGGCAGCUUUGGGAAUUUUUUCUUUUCUUCUUUUUAAAAAAGAUCAAUAUUCAUUCUUCUUUAUUUGCUCCCAUGACGAAAAUAGAUACAUCUUAUUAGCCAGAGGUGGACGGUGCAGACCAAGAGACCCCAAAGAUCGCAUCUGGGCAGAAGGUGGCCUCAGUCCCAGCACUUCCUAUAGGGGCCGGACCCCUGGAAAGUUCCCUUUUCAGACCACCGGGCCAACACCCCUUGAACAGCAGAGACACCCAGCAGGCAGGGCCUGAGCUAGAACGACACCUCUCAGGAGGGGGCUGUGGGGCCUUCGGCAGUGACUCCAGCCAACCCCCUGCCUGGGGGGCAGCAGCAGCCCGCCCGCCAGCCUGCCCCCGCCAGCUGGUUCCGGGUCUCCAGAUGUCAGAAGAGGCAGGAGCCCCGCAGGCUUCGGGUCUGGCACAGGUCGGCGGACAGGGAGCGGCUCAUGUGCUUGGUGGUGGAGAGGAUGCCUUCAGCUGCCUGCAUGGCUUCUGCGAGUGCCGUGUUGAGCUCCUCCAGGUCCUCCAGGUCCAGCUGGAUGGAGCGUCGCUGACCCCUGGCCGCUCGGGAGGGGGUCGAGGGGGGCCAGUCAGCAGGGGCUGAGUGGGCUGAGGAGGCAGAGGUAGGUCCUGGAGGCACAUAGUAC